rnacentral:rRNA from 1 species
CGGGAUUGCCUUAGUAACGGCGAGUGAAGCGGCAAAAGCUCAAAUUUGAAAUCUGGUACCUUCGGUGCCCGAGUUGUAAUUUGGAGAGGGCAACUUUGGGGCCGUUCCUUGUCUAUGUUCCUUGGAACAGGACGUCAUAGAGGGUGAGAAUCCCGUGUGGCGAGGAGUGCGGUUCUUUGUAAAGUGCCUUCGAAGAGUCGAGUUGUUUGGGAAUGCAGCUCUAAGUGGGUGGUAAAUUCCAUCUAAAGCUAAAUAUUGGCGAGAGACCGAUAGCGAACAAGUACAGUGAUGGAAAGAUGAAAAGAACUUUGAAAAGAGAGUGAAAAAGUACGUGAAAUUGUUGAAAGGGAAGGGCAUUUGAUCAGACAUGGUGUUUUGUGCCCUCUGCUCCUUGUGGGUAGGGGAAUCUCGCAUUUCACUGGGCCAGCAUCAGUUUUGGUGGCAGGAUAAAUCCAUAGGAAUGUAGCUUGCCUCGGUAAGUAUUAUAGCCUGUGGGAAUACUGCCAGCUGGGACUGAGGACUGCGACGUAAGUCAAGGAUGCUGGCAUAAUGGUUAUAUGCCGCCCGUCUUGAAACAGGACCA